GCAGUAGCCACGGGAAUACGUAGGUGGCAAGCGUUGUCCGGAUUUAUUGGGCGUAAAGGGAGCGCAGGCGGUUUAGUAAGUCUGAUGUGAAAGCCCCCGGCUCAACCGGGGAGGGUCAUUGGAAACUAGGAAACUUGAGUGCAGAAGAGGAGAGUGGAAUUCCACGUGUAGCGGUGAAAUGCGUAGAGAUGUGGAGGAACACCAGUGGCGAAGGCGACUCUCUGGUCUGUAACUGACGCUGAGGAGCGAAAGCGUGGGGAGCGAACAGGAUUAGAUACCCCGGUAGUCCCUGUCUCUUAUAA
rnacentral:rRNA from 1 species